AUGGCUGCGGUUGACUUUGACCUUAAGUUUACCUAUGUGUUAGCUGGUUGGGAAGGGUCAGCCCAUGAUGCAUUCAUUUUGGCCGAUGCGUUGGAAAGGAAUGAUGGAUUUUUUGUCCCUGCAGGAAAAUUCUACCUUGUGGAUGCGGGCUAUGCCGUGCGGCCAGGGUUUCUUCCACCACAUAGGGCUACUCGCUAUCAUCUUAUUGAGUUUGGUGAAUGUGUCCCUCAAAAUGAGAAGGAGUUAUUCAACCUCCGCCACUCCUCAUUGAGGAUCAUGGUUGAGAGGGCAUUUGCAGCUUUCAAGAACCGAUGGAGAAUUGUGGACGACAAGCCUCACCACCCUUAUCCGUCACAAGUCGAAAUUGUCCUAGCUUGUUGCAUUCUUCAUAAUUGGAUACUAUAG
rnacentral:rRNA from 1 species